UACGUAGGUGGCGAGCGUUGUCCGGAUUUACUGGGCGUAAAGGGAGCGUAGGCGGGCUUUUAAGUGAGAUGUGAAAUACUCGGGCUCAACUUGAGUGCUGCAUUUCAAACUGGAAGUCUAGAGUGCAGGAGAGGAGAAUGGAAUUCCUAGUGUAGCGGUGAAAUGCGUAGAGAUUAGGAAGAACGCCAGUGGCGAAGGCGAUUCUCUGGACUGUAACUGACGCUGAGGCUCGAAAGCGUGGGGAGCAAACAGG
rnacentral:rRNA from 1 species